CAGACACAGGAUUUUUAUAUAUUUCCCGUGAUACAAACAAGCUAAAACACACAGUAAAUAUGAGCUUUAUGUUUUCCGAUACACCUUCGUGAAAAUUUGCUAAAAUAUGUUAAACUAAGAAAUUUGCUAACCCAAUGACUGUCCCGUGACUUAAGAAAAUCAAAAAAGUAUUUCACAUCAGGCAUGUUUAUAUUUUGUGCUUUAUACUUGAAUACAUCCAGAUACACGUGUAUGAUAUUUUCCCACAACAUAUUUGAUUAUUUCUUCAUUUCUUUCACAUUAAAGGGUCUUGAAAAUAGGGUAUUUUAAACAUAUCAGAAAUAUUGUUAGUUUCAUCAUUCAUAGGUAUAAAUUUCAUCUACGUGUUAGUCAAUGUUUUGACAAUGCAUUAAAAUGAUGUUGUUUUCUCGGGAAGGGUGGUUUCACGGCAAAUUCUGUGUGAUUUACGAAGAAAGGGUCGGAGGAAUAUGAGAUGCAUCCUAUUAUUAAAAAAGUAAAUUUUAGAAUGCUGUUAGUUCGUGAGUAAGAUUCCGAAACAAGAGAAUGAAAAUGGAGAAGAUAUUCCGUGGACCAGCCAUCUCAACACGACACUGUCACCUGUUCAGAGAACUCCCAUGCAACACACUGUUCAGAGACAGAAACACUCGGGUGAACGGUAUAUCAGGCAGGGGAAAGUAUCACCAAGUGAUGAAAAUAAAAGAUCAGCAAAACAGCUGUUGACAAAAACACCCCGGAUUGAAAAUGAAGAAUUUUAUCUGAUACCAAAUGACGACGUUCGGAGAUAGUGUGUCAUCGCUGUGUUUUAAAUGGAAACUUGAUGCAAGAAGGAAUAUCCCUAUAUUUACAACAACAAAAAAAUGGAUGGUGCCAAAUCACAGAGAUUUCCUGUGAUAAUAAACUGACAUUCCCCUAUCAUAAAGACCCGAUUCUGAACCGCGGAUUUCAUGGGGGAAAUGAAAUUGUACCGUGGCAUCAGAAUCCAGUACUGCAUUGCAUAAUGCUGUCUUGCAAUAUCCAAGCCCUAUCCUUUAAAACAACUAUAUUUACGCCAAGAUAUCGAAUUCAAAACGAGGUGAUGUUUUAUUGCACCUAAGGGGUAAUUUCAACCCCACAAACAGGCGUUAUAUCAACCCCAACAGCAAAAGAUUGGAUCAUCUCCCAGCAUCCACUGGGACAGGCCAUUGGAAGGAGUUGUUUGUGAUUUCCAGGUGAAAAGAUGAAUAUAUGCUGAAUCAACAUAGAUCAAUUGAAUGUAAACAUAAUGGAGUUGCAUGCCAUCAAAAUUUUAAAGAUGGAUGUUAAUUUUGAUAUAUAUGUAUAUUCAAUUUUCUCUAAUUCCUACCCUGUUACAUUUUUCUUGUAUGUCAACAUAAAAGUUGUAUGUUGACAUAUUUAUGUUGCAUUUCAAAAUAAUUAUCUUGCAUGUCGACAUAAUCUACAGGAAAAUAACUUGUUUUAGGGGGAAGAAGUAUGUCACCGUAUUUAAUAAGCAACUAAAUGUAUUGUAUAAGUAUAAAUACAUGUACUGUUACUAGAGAUUGCAAGGACCAAACGGCAGUCAUGCAGUACCAUGUGCGGAUCCAAAAUGUCUUGCAGAUAGGUUCCACCCCUGGCAUUUUCCCUAGGGAUGGGGUGGGGAACAAAAUAUACAAGGUGUCUAACAGUCAAUAUUUUAUGACUGGUUAAAAAACGGCAGAAAUAAGUAUUUUCAACUCUGGUAGUCAUCGUGUAUACCGGUCUUUCAUUCAAUUGAUUGAAAUAUUCUAAAAGGUAUAGUACUAGGUAUAGUUGUGAAUUCAUACGAACUUCUGAAACUUCUCAAGGGAAAUUUGAUAUGCACACACGCACGCACACACACGCGCACACACAUUCUUUACAACACAUGUAGGUUUCAUAAUAAUUUGCAUAAUUACUGUCCAAGUAUAGACCGUUAAGACCUGAUGGAUAUUAGAAAUUAUCCAGCUUUAAAAAAGAUAUAACCCAGAAUGCACAUUACCUAGGGAUGCAUGAUUUUAGUCUUAUGUGUCUGUGUGUUUAUCGGUGACUAAGAUUAUAUCCAAAUUACAUGUUAACCAAGUUUUCAAAAAUGAUUUUGAUAACUGGUAAAACUUGAUUGAAUUUGGGUAGAGAUCUUUGUGUAUGAAAUGUAUUACAUACAAAGGGAUAUCAGGGAGCCGCGGUGAGGGUGUGCGGUCUUUAAACACUUUUGUUCAAAAUUGCAGCAGCAUCAAUCUUGUCAAUAAAAAGGUGUAUUUAUUUUAAUUACGUACCUUAUGACGUUUUAAUAAACUAUGAAUAAGAAAAACAGCACCAAAAAUUGUAGUAUGCUUCCAAAUCCAUCCCCCCUACUACAAUGUAAAAACGACAUAUUGUAGAUUGGUUGUGAUCUAUAAGGAAAAAGAGAAAGAAAAAAUAAUGAGGAACUUUUUCUGCCAAAGAAGCACAAGGGUAUUGCAAGUGCUCGGUAAUUUGACUGCCUAGGUAGGUCUUUUUCUCCGAGACAAUUAGCUAUCUAGUGAGCCUGUGGCAUUCUUUUACAAAGGUAAAAACAGCCAGACUCGGGUUCAACUUACUGCAAACACGAGACGCAUUUUCCUCAACGGUGUUAUUAAGGUAGUAAAGGAAGAAAAAACAAAUUAUACGGAAAUAAUGUUCGUCCGAGUGUUUAUGCGACUAAUUCUCCUGAACAAUAAAAGACAUCAGCGAGUAUCCUACAGCAUCUUUAACGUAUUGUUCAUGGAUCCAAUUUCUAAUUGCGAACCCGAUGCCACGUGCACGAGUAAUUUUUUCCUUCUCUGGGUAAAAUGAUGCUACCAAAGUAUUAUUUACGUAAUAAGCAAAAGAAGCUACUUGCUGGCUUGCACAUGUCUUUUCAUUUUGCCCGAAGAUACGAACGCUUCUAGACCAAAUAUGACAUCGAGAUUAAACUUACCAUUGUCAAAAAGAAAUAGUGCUUUACUAGCUAUAGAUAGCUUAUUGUUUAACACACACAGGUAACCAAAUUCAAAUUUUUUUUAAUAUCAUGUCGUGAAGCGAUUUGAAACCAAUACUGUAUCGUUUGUCAAUAAGAAUACAACUCUCUCUUUAUUGUGCACAGAUACACGUACAUAUCAGCUGACAAUAUAAAGGGGAUGCCUGCAGAUUAACACGUAUUCAAAUUAUAACUGUGGUCACUAAUUAUCAUAAAAUAUCUCUAAAUGAUUAAUUAAAACUGUUUUCAAUAGAAUUAAAGAUAUCUUCAAUAUACAAACAAUAAAAUAUAUUCAAAUCAAUCAAUCAAUCAAAUCAAAUCAACUACUAGAGAGAUAUUUAAUUCAUCUGGAUGAAUCUCUAAUUUAUUUUUUGAACUAUAGUCAUUUUUAAUAAAUAAACGAACUAAACUUCCCUAGUUAAAUUAUUAAUCUUCAUAAAUAAAACAUUGAAUUCUCCACAUGAAUUUAAGUAGGGUGCCUUAAUUCGAGCGAGCUUUAGUAGAAUUCGACAGAAUAUUUAUUCAUCGAAAGAAUUAAAAUUAUCUCCAUAUGAAUUUUAUUUUAAAAAUCUAAAGUAAGGCAUUGGCAUGUGUUUUCCCAAGCUCCCAGUUUUUCCUAGCUACGCAGUAAACAGGUGUUUGAAGUAAAAGUCGCUGGUUUUUCAGAUAUAUGCCUACAUGUAGGUCAGAGCAUUUCACCGAAAGCUAGUGACGUGUCUAAGGAGUGAAGGAGUCUCGAAUGUGACGUGAAUACAAUUCCUGUAUAUAAUUUUUCAACAUCAAUAGUUUGAUUUCACUGAAUAUGACUUGAGACACACCAUUUUGAAAUUUUACAUAACUUGUAAUUGAUACAGUAUGACCACUGGUUCAUGAUUGUGCAAACAUCCAUCACAUGGUUAACCCCUUGCAUGUCAGAUACGCAUUAUGCAUCUCUGUUUUCCUUAAAUGCAUUUUGAAUUUAGAAUUGUCGUUGAUUCUUGAAUUGUGUGAAAUUAUAUAUGACAAACACUAUUUCUGGAGUCGAUAACAUUUUUAUAGGCCUCUCUGUUAUUUUUCUCAAUUUUGGCAUUUGGUGACUUCGGGGGCUGCAAGAGAUAUCAAUACCAUAAUCCUCCAUAAUUAACCCGAUUACUUGUAUUGAUCGUUUAAUAUGUUUUAGGAUAAAGUUCAAAUGUUAAAAUAGAUAAAUUCAAAGGUUGUGGUUUUUUUUUAAGACAAGCUAUCAAUAGGUACCUUAAAAGCCCGGGUAGUUCAACGUGUGUUACAAAGCAGGCCCAUGAGGUCGAGAUGUAUUCCCGCGAGCCGUUUUAUUUUACAGCAAUACAUCUCGAAGUCAAGGGAUUAUUUAUCAACAAUUACGAAGAGGUAAUUAUUUUUAUUCUGCUACGGUGAUGUUAGUAACAUGUACAAAGUACAAUAAUUUAUUUGUACGAAACAUCAUGAUGUAGAAUCUCUAAUAUUUGAGGUUACUCAAAUAUAGUAUGUCGUGUGUUAGAAAUCUAACACCAGCGUUCGGACCAUGGUAGAAAAUAUAGUACACACCAUAUUAUCAUGUACAACAUAUAUACAUAUUUGCAGAGAUAUAAUUUAAAGGAAAUAUUUCUAAUGAAACAGGAAAGCUUAAAUGAAAUUUUGUACAAUAGAAAAAAUAUAGUUGUUUUGAAUUACAUGUGAAAAUCAUUUGUUACUUUUCCCUACAAUAAACCAGAUUUUGACAAUAAAAGUUCAUUUUGUACAUUAAAAGAAGUAAUGGUAGGCAUAUUCAAUUGUGGUCAUAUGAGCAACUGACAGAAUAUAUGAUGUGUUACGGGUAUACUGUCCUCUCUAUCUGCCAUAAACAUGUAUGAAUAUGAUAAAGAAAAGAAAAGAAAAAAUGAAAUGAAAUAUUGUAUUGCAUGAAUUCAGGGAAGCGAAACAAUGCAACUAAAGCCGUAUAUAAGAGAAAAAGGACAAAGAAGAAAAUGAAACUGUAAAGCCGAGAUAUUUUUUUUUAAAAAUCAACAAUUAAGCAUUCAAAACCCUACAAUGCAGAAAAGUUAAUGCGAUACCAGUUGUAAAUGAUAGUGAUUGAUCGGAUCAUCGUCUGUGACAGACCCAAUGAUAAAAUCUAUCUUUAAGCAAGCAGAAAGUAUAUGAAACAAUAAUUUCCUGUUUCGAUGACAAUAGAAAUACGAUACAGAUAUUCCUUGUAUAUUUUACAUUUUAUGCAAAAAAGUUAUCAUUAUACGGAAAUUUCAUUUAAUCUGGUAUUAAUCUUUAAUGCAUUUGAUACAAUUUAGUUACAUUUUCAUCGCUGUGUUUUUAUAUUUAUUCAAAAUCUGAAAUUAAAUCGCACCCGUCCCUAUUCCACAUCUGUAGUUCGUCCUGUUAUUUAAGAUGAUGAUUGCAAACUCGUGUAUAUCGUGUUUUAUUUCCGCAUUUGAAAGAAAUUGGUGUCUCCAGAUUUUGUUGUUGCGAUUUAUAAAACUGUGCCUGAAAUUAGUCUCUGUAGACGCACAUUAGCACAAAACUUGUCCACCAUUCAGAGUGCUCUGUUUUCUUAUGUGUAUAUUUACAUUCAAUAGAUUUUUUUCCUCAUCAACUCUGUUGUAGAGUUUCAAGUUCAUAUGUCAAUUAUGCAUAAAGCAGAAGGCAUUAUUUUACACAAUUUGUAGGCCAUGUGUCGAAUGGAAACGACAGGUGUCAACUUUCCUUGAUCUAAAAUAUUUAUUUGGAAUAGAUAUAGAGACUGCUUGUAUCUGUAAAUUUCUUAGAUAGUUUUCAGUGCAUUAUCACAUGAAUCCAAAAGAAACAAACUUCGGACUUUUCCGCCAAUUAAAAGUAUGUGACCAUCUGUGUUUGUUGUUACAUUUAGUAUUUUAGUCUACGUAACAUGAUUAUCAUAAACCUAAAGUUUCAGCCCUCACUUUGUUUAGUUGGUGUUGAUAUAUAAAUAUAAAUAAUGAAAUGCUUACGCGCGUCGUUACAUUUUUCUACAAUCCUUCCUUGUGACAGUCAUUUCCCAAAUCAUGACAACAAAACCACACUUCAUUGUAUAAAUCAUUAUUUCUCAGGGAAAAUAUCGAUUAUAUCUAAAAGUUGUCAAAAUACAGGUUCGUUUAUGGAUAUUGAAGAAAAAUUAUUUACAUGUAAUAAUGGUUACGCUCGAAUUGCACAUGCAAAGAAUAUUUGUUUUGCGUUAGAUACAUCACAACUUCCGAAUGUUAAUUUCUAUCUUUUCUACGGGAAAUAAGCAAAUAUAUCGAUAUCACUUCCGCAUCAUCUAAAGAUUUCGUCGAAAAUAUCAAUGUCUGACCGAAAUGAACACGGGGAAUGAUUUUCAGACAAGAUAUAUCAUCCACGAGUAAUUGAGAUCUAUUUUAUUCAAUUAGCAAGCUGUCAACACAUAAAAAGUUAUGAAGUGUUAUCAAAAGACAAAGUCCAACCAAACUUUAAUCAAUCAUUUUACAUUAAUUUCAUAGUUGCUGAAUCAUGAUGACAUAGUUUAUCAAUGAACUAGCGUAUUUAGGAAGGUGUGAAUCAAAGUGCAAUUACUAUUCAAUAAAACAAAACUUAGGUUAAAACAUCUAUCUUUUUUAACCACCCUUUUUAAAAAAAAAAUCUUAUAUACUAAAAUGCACAUUCAAAGAUAUCGGUUUACUGCUUCGUUGAAAAUCUAAAACUUACUUGUCAGAUAAUUAACUUCGAGAUGCAUUGUAAUUCUAUUUGCGUAUCUGUAUCAGGUAACCCCCUCCCUUAAAUUGAUAAAUUACUUCGCUUUACCUCACAGAAUUUCUCUAACACCUUGCUUUUGUGUUCAGUAAACAAUUUGACACAUAUUUCAUAAAUUGUUCCUGCCCUCCCUGAUGGUACGUAGAUAGGACGGGGGCUCAUAGUAAUACACUCGCUCAGCUGACAUUUUGAAAGACAAUUGUCGGGAUCAGGUUUCGGUUAUAUCUGUUAAACCGGUCUCAAAAUGAAAAAUGUAUUUAAAAUAUGGCAAUAUAUCCAGGAUUGGGGAAUUGAUAAAUUGAAAUUUUUACAGAAAAUAUCAAUCCCCCGUAGUAUCAGGUUUCCUUAUCACGGGAGCAUCACAGCUUUAGUCGGCCAUUUUGUUUUUAUUAUACCGUGAAUUAUGGUCGAUACUCAAGACAAAUUAUUUUCUAAAUUUGAAAUUGUUUUUCCACGAUGAAAACUAGAAAGUUUACGAGAGAAUUAAUGAGACGGGUACACAAGAUCGGGAUGAAUUCUAUCACCUCAGAUAAGAUUUAAUGUGAUAAGUGAAAGACAUCCAUCAUAUAUGCAAAUUAUUAUCAAACACGACGGAUUUCGGUUCUCCACUACACUACUUAACCAGUGACAAUGAUACAAAAACAUAUAGCAUUCCAUAAUAGCGUAACAGGAAGGGAGAAAAUGCAACAGACCAGACCGAGAUUCGGACCUCCAGUCAGGUGCUCUACCAACUGAGCUAUCUGGCCACCGGCGAUCGAACCCAGCUGACUGCUACAUUCCCCCCUCCCUCAUUUGUCUUCGUCCUUGAAGACAUAAGCCAGAUUCUUUUCGUCCCUGACAGGACUUUCACCUGCAAACCUAGGGGUGGUCAACGACACCAAACGUCAUCCAAAUAUCCACACAGCCAUAGACAGGAGGUACAUACUGAACAGCGCAAAUAUGUGGACCUGAAGUAAUUCAUAUGUCCUAGGCCAGCAAUCCACCACGAUCUUAAGGAUGAAGCAGCCAGGAAAAGGAAAGCGGAGUCAGAAUCACACCCCAUGUUAUUUGACCACCAUUCUACAAAUCCAAGAGACUGCCGUUAUCUGUUGGACUCCAAUGGGAGGUGACCAUUCUACAUUGAUCCAUUGCCUUUUUAUGGGAUCCGAAACUGUGACUGUGAGAUGUAUGAGAGUUUGACUUCUAGGCGGGCAAUUCUACUUUCACUUUAAACGGAUGGCAGGUGCCUGAGUGUAUCUCGACCCAUUUCCAGGCUAGCAUCAGAUGUCAUGAUGGACCUUUAAAAUCUUUCACAUGUGUACUUUCAAGAACCAUAUACAUUAUUUUUGAUAAUUGGUUGCCAUGGUAAUAAAAUCUGAAAAUUAAAA